CCUACGGGUGACAGCAGUGAGGAAUAUUGGUCAAUGGACGCAAGUCUGAACCAGCCAUGCCGCGUGCAGGAAGACGGCUCUAUGAGUUGUAAACUGCUUUUGUACGAGGGUAAACGCAGAUACGCGUAUCUGUCUGAAAGUAUCGUACGAAUAAGGAUCGGCUAACUCCGUGCCAGCAGCCGCGGUAAUACGGAGGGUUCAAGCGUUAUCCGGAUUUAUUGGGUGUAAAGGGUGCGUAGGCGGUCGGAUAAGUUAGAGGUGAAAUCCCGAGGCUCAACUUCGGAAUUGCCUCUGAUACUGUUCGUCUAGAGAGUAGUUGCGGUAGGCGGAAUGUAUGGUGUAGGGGUGAAAUGCUUAGAGAUCAUACAGAACACCGAUUGCGAAGGCAGCCUACCAAGCUACUUCUGACGUUGAGGCACGAAAGCGUGGGGAGCAAACAGGAUUAGAUACCCGGGUAGUC
rnacentral:rRNA from 1 species